GAUGAACGCUAGCGGCAGGCUUAACACAUGCAAGUCGAGGGGUAGAAGUCUUCGGACUUUGAGACCGGCGCACGGGUGCGUAACGCGUAUGCAAUCUGCCUUGUACAAAGGGAUAGCCCAGAGAAAUUUGGAUUAAUACCUUAUAGUAUAUCGAUGUGGCAUCACAAUGAUAUUAAAGAUUUAUCGGUACAAGAUGAGCAUGCGUCCCAUUAGCUAGUUGGUAUGGUAACGGCAUACCAAGGCAAUGAUGGGUAGGGGUCCUGAGAGGGAGAUCCCCCACACUGGUACUGAGACACGGACCAGACUCCUACGGGAGGCAGCAGUGAGGAAUAUUGGUCAAUGGGCGCAAGCCUGAACCAGCCAUGCCGCGUGCAGGAUGAAGCAUCUAUGGUGUGUAAACUGCUUUUGUACGGGAAGAAACACCUCUUCGUGAAGAGGCUUGACGGUACCGUAAGAAUAAGGAUCGGCUAACUCCGUGCCAGCAGCCGCGGUAAUACGGAGGAUCCAAGCGUUAUCCGGAAUCAUUGGGUUUAAAGGGUCCGUAGGCGGUUUUAUAAGUCAGUGGUGAAAUCCGGUAGCUCAACUAUCGAACGGCCAUUGAUACUGUAGAACUUGAAUUAUUGUGAAGUAACUAGAAUAUGUAGUGUAGCGGUGAAAUGCUUAGAUAUUACAUGGAAUACCAAUUGCGAAGGCAGGUUACUAACAAUACAUUGACGCUGAUGGACGAAAGCGUGGGGAGCGAACAGGAUUAGAUACCCUGGUAGUCCACGCCGUAAACGAUGGAUACUAGCUGUUUGGCAGUAAUGCUGAGUGGCUAAGCGAAAGUGAUAAGUAUCCCACCUGGGGAGUACGAACGCAAGUUUGAAACUCAAAGGAAUUGACGGGGGCCCGCACAAGCGGUGGAGCAUGUGGUUUAAUUCGAUGAUACGCGAGGAACCUUACCAGGGCUUAAAUGUAGUGGGACAGGCUUGGAAACAGGCCCUUCUUCGGACUCAUUACAAGGUGCUGCAUGGUUGUCGUCAGCUCGUGCCGUGAGGUGUCAGGUUAAGUCCUAUAACGAGCGCAACCCCUGUUGUUAGUUGCCAGCGAGUCAUGUCGGGAACUCUAACAAGACUGCCGGUGCAAACCGUGAGGAAGGUGGGGAUGACGUCAAAUCAUCACGGCCCUUACGUCCUGGGCUACACACGUGCUACAAUGGCCGGUACAGAGAGCAGCCACUGGGCGACCAGGAGCGAAUCUAUAAAACCGGUCACAGUUCGGAUUGGAGUCUGCAACCCGACUCCAUGAAGCUGGAAUCGCUAGUAAUCGGAUAUCAGCCAUGAUCCGGUGAAUACGUUCCCGGGCCU
rnacentral:rRNA from 1 species